rnacentral:rRNA from 1 species
CCUACGGGGGGCAGCAGUGAGGAAUAUUGGUCAAUGGGCGCGAGUCUGAACCAGCCAAGUAGCGUGAAGGAUGACUGCCCUACGGGUUGUAAACUUCUUUUAUAAAGGAAUAAAGUGAGGCACGUGUGCCUUUUUGUAUGUACUUUAUGAAUAAGGAUCGGCUAACUCCGUGCCAGCAGCCGCGGUAAUACGGAGGAUCCGAGCGUUAUCCGGAUUUAUUGGGUUUAAAGGGAGCGUAGGUGGGUUGUUAAGUCAGUUGUGAAAGUUUGCGGCUCAACCGUAAAAUUGCAAUUGAUACUGGCAGCCUUGAGUACAGUUGAGGUAGGCGGAAUUCGUGGUGUAGCGGUGAAAUGCUUAGAUAUCACGAAGAACUCCGAUUGCGAAGGCAGCCUACUAGACUGCCACUGACAUUGAUGCUCGAAAGUGUGGGUAUCAAACAGGAUUAGAUACCCGAGUAGUC